GAUACGCCCCUUGGAUGCCUGCAGAGAAGCUCUGGGGCUUCAGUCAAUGACUCAGGGUAGCCACCGAACAUGAUGCUCGGGCAGUGGGUGCCACCUGGACUCCACUCUCCCCUCUCUCUGGGAUCAUAGAGUCCAAGGUGUUCUGUGGCCUCUCGGCCAAUCCCAGCAGCUCAGCGUGCAGAAGACCGAGGAGCCAUUGGAAUUCAACACAACACGAAAUAAUCAACAAAUUCGGGGAAUGUUAAUCUGACCAUCACCAGUUACAAAUGAUGUUUCAUGCUACCUUCUAUUCCUGCCUUCAUAAAUCAAGCUCUAAAUCUCCAGGAAAAAAUGUGCUCAGGAUGGCCAGAGAAAUGUCCUUCCAACUGUGCAUGGAAAGCAAGGACAGCAAAGCCUUCCAGACCUGCCUGUGACAUGCACUGCACAUUCUAAAGAUGCCUAUGCAAUGGAAAACACCACUGUCUGCUCCAGCACAGCUGCCAUUCUUCCAUCUUAUCGACCUUAAUGCAACAACUCCUCACAGGCAGAGAUUUUAAAAUGUGUUCUUGGCAGAAGAGAGACUCAAAGAUGGGACAAAUGUGUCAUUUAAAUGCCUGUUAAAAUGGAAACAGACAUAGUAUAGUCAGAGGAUUGUGGCAGCUAAGAACAUAGUCUCUGGAGCAAAUCUGCAUGGGUGGCAAUGCCAAGCACAUGAGGUCCUAGUUGUAUGAACUUAGGAAAAGAAAAAGAGAACAUAUAUCCCCCUACCUUUUGAUUUCCAACAGUCUACUGAGAGGCCAAGAUUAUUUGCAGGGAAAGAAAAGGGGAAUGCCAUCCCCACCCUCUCGCAGCUACG
rnacentral:lncRNA from 1 species